rnacentral:tRNA from 1 species
GGGGUCAUAGCUCAAUUGGUAGAGCAGAGCCUUUGCAAGGCUAAGGUUGCGGGUUCAAGUCCUGUUGGCUCCAC